UUCGGCAAAUAGGAGCUCAUAUAAAAUGAAAAUAUGAAACUCUUAAAAUCUUAACCUAAUGAUUAGAGGCCUUGGGGUCGAAACGAUCUUAACCUAUUCUCAAACUUUAAAUGGGUAAGAACCUUAACUGUCUUGAUAUGAAGUUUAAGGUGAUGAUAUAAUGUGCCCAGUGGGCCACUUUUGGUAAGCAGAACUGGCGCUGUGGGAUGAACCA
rnacentral:rRNA from 1 species